GGCCGCGGUAUUUUGACCGUGCGAAGGUAGCAUAAUCAUUAGUCUGUUAAAUGUAGUCUGGAAUGAAGGGUUUGACGGGGAGUAGCUUUCUUAUUUUUAUUCUUGAAUUUGAAUUAUUAGUAAAAAUGCUAAUAUUUUUUAGGGGGACGAGAAGACCCUAUAGAGCUUUAUAUCUUAAUACUUUUUGGUAGUGAAGUUUGGUAUACUAUAUUUUGUUGGGGCGACAAUAGGUACAAAACAUCUGUGUUAUUUGUCUUUUUAGUAGGUUUAUGAUCCAUUAAUAAUGAUAAAAGACUAAGUUACCUUAGGGAUAACAGCGUAAUUUUGUUUUAGAGUUCAUAUCGAUAACAAAGGUUGCGACCUCGAUGUUGGAUUAGAAUUCCUUUUUUAUGGCGCAGGAGUUUUUAAAGGUAGUCUGUUCGACUAUUUAAUUUCUACA
rnacentral:rRNA from 1 species